CAGCCGCGGUAAUACGGGAGUGGCAAGCGUUAUCCGGAAUUAUUGGGCGUAAAGCGUCCGCAGGCGGCCCUUCAAGUCUGCUGUUAAAAAGUGGAGCUUAACUCCAUCAUGGCAGUGGAAACUGUUGGGCUUGAGUGUGGUAGGGGCAGAGGGAAUUCCCGGUGUAGCGGUGAAAUGCGUAGAUAUCGGGAAGAACACCAGUGGCGAAGGCGCUCUGCUGGGCCAUCACUGACGCUCAUGGACGAAAGCCAGGGGAGCGAAAGGGAUUAGAUACCCCUGUAGUCCUGGCCGUAAACGAUGAACACUAGGUGUCGGGGGAAUCGACCCCCCUCGGUGUCGUAGCCAACGCGUUAAGUGUUUCCGCCUGGGGAGUACGCACGCAAGUGUGAAACUCAAAGGAAUUGACGGGGCCCGCACAAGCGGUGGAGUAUGUGGUUUAUUUCGAUGCAACGCGAAGAACCUUACCAGGGUUUGACAUCCUGCGAAUCUCUUGGAAACGAGAGAGUGCCUUCGGGAACGCAGUGACAGGUGGUGCAUGGCUGUCGUCAGCUCGUGUCGUGAGAUGUUGGGUUAAGUCCCGCAACGAGCGCAACCCACGUCUUUAGUUGCCAGCAUUGAGUUGGGCACUCUAGAGAGACCGCCGGUGAUAAACCGGAGGAAGGUGUGGAUGACGUCAAGUCAUCAUGCCCCUUACAUCCUGGGCUACACACGUACUACAAUGCUACGGACAAAGGGCAGCAAGUUCGCGAGGACAAGCAAAUCCCAUAAACCGUGGCUCAGUUCAGAUCGUAGGCUGCAACUCGCCUACGUGAAGGAGGAAUCGCUAGUAAUCGCAGGUCAGCAUACUGCGGUGAAUACGUUCCCGGGCCUUGUACACACCGCCCGUCACACCAUGGAAGUUGGCCACGCCCGAAGCCGUUACUCCAACCCUCGGGAGGAGGACGUCGAAGGUGGGGCUGAUGACUGGGGUGAAGUCGUAACAAGGUA
rnacentral:rRNA from 1 species